rnacentral:antisense_RNA from 1 species
CUUGAUCGACCCCAGCCACAGCGGCUCCGACCGAUCCUGACCGUAGGUCGCGAGCAGGGCCUGCGCCUC